UGGGAUAGUGAAGAGAGAACGAACAGAGGAGGACUGGAGGCGACUGAGUGAGAGACCAGAUCAUCACCAUCGCCUUCAUCUUCUUCUUCUUCUCGGCAUAAUAACAGAACCAAUGAGGACCAGAGAAUCAGUGACAGCGAGAGAACUAGAACCAAUCACCGUUUCCUUCACUCCCACCACUCUGAACCAUCAUUUCCCAUCCCCAUUGAAAUCCAUCAUCACCGUCGGCUUCAUUAUCACCUUCUCGGCGUUCCUCCAUGGUAGCCCGUAACAGAACGUUGAUUGUGGCAUUCCUUAUGGCAAACCGUGGCUGAAUUUCAUGAUCCUCUGGAGCAGUGGUGAUGGCUUGAACUUGGAGCUUUAAAGGGGAGUUUCAGCUUUUUCAA